CAGUGAGGGACCGAUCGAAGAGAGAGA
rnacentral:sRNA from 1 species